ensembl:lncRNA
CGCAGCCCGGCCCGGGAGGGGAGCGGGCGCUGGUCUGCGCAGCGCAGAGAGAUUGCAGCUUCGGAAAUCCGAGCCCAGCCGGGUUCCGGGGCGCCGCCCCCCGGAGCAGCAGCUCUGUAUCCCGGGCUGCGCAGCCGCGCGCUCCGGCGGCUCUGGGGCGCGGGGACCUGGAGGACGGGUUCAUUUUCCUUAGCGAGAGCCCCGGAGUGAAGCCUGCGACGCGCUGACCUGAGCUCUCCUCUGCCCCGAGGUAGCCCGCGGGCGCGUCGCCGUCCGGAUCCGCUCUUCUGUUCCCGACUGCGAGCCUGGUUCCGGGCGCAGGAAAGAGAGUCAAUCAGAGUUUCUUCGUAAGCCUGUCUUAAAUAGCAGCACGUUUCUACUGGAGACUUGAAAAGCUGAGCCUUUCCAAGCUCCAUGUCUGUGCUGUCCACUGAGAAAGAAAAUCCAGGAGACAGGUUCCUAAAGGAAGCGCCUGAGCCAGGGGCCGCACAGGAGGAGAGAACACGGAGAGCGACACGGUCACGCCCCGUGACCAUGAACGCCAGCUGUGGGCCGCACCCUGCACAGGGUGGUCGCCUUCUGUCCCACAGACUCCACCCUCACCCAAGCAGCUGGCGACAAUCACCAGGCGAGACAGUGGCCAGAGGCCGAAUGCUGCUGAGUCAGGACGGGCGCUCUGCUGCCCUUACAGGGACUGCUCCACCUGACCACGUCCCAGCGCAGAGGCACGCUUCUCAUCUCGGAGAGGAGAGCGGGCAAAGGCUGACGACACAGCCCAGAGCCGCCCAGGCCAGGCCAUGCCAGGGCCCGGCGAUUGGCAGUCCGCUCUCAGGCAGCUUCUGCAGGCCCGGAGCCAGCUGGCCAGGGCAGUUCGUGGGAGCUGGGGCGAGUACUCGCGCGCCGGACGCCACUGGCCUCUGGUCUUUCUUCUUCGCCCCGUCGGUUGGUCGGUGCAGUGCAGGAAAGAUUCCUGCCCGGGGCCGGAGAGGCUAAGCUGGAACACCUGCGCCGGACACGCGACACGGACUCUGCCGCGGGCGGCGCUGGCUGGCGGGGGUGGGCUCUGCCGGGGAGGUGUGAAGGGCGUCCUGGGGCCCGGGCCGCACAGGAGCCCGUGGGCAGCUGCUUCUGGAGGCCACCGAAACCAUUGCUGGGGAGAAGCCGGAUGCGCCGGGUCCCUUGGACGAAGGAGGCGGGGACCUCGCCGUGGGGCAGAGGGGGGAAGCUGACCCACUGCUCGGCCCUCUUCCUUCCGGAGGUCGGCGUAGCGCCCUGUGGGGCCUUACUGCUGGGCGUCACGGGGGAGGAGCCGUGUGACAGCUCGCCCCGGAGAGAGUCAAUUUAAUGUGGAAAGACUCGAGUUUGCUUUGACUCAUGGGAUUGUUUUCUAUGGAGAAGGAAAACCCGAGAGCUGAACCUCACGCUGGCAAGGAACGGUGUGGUGACAUCACUGCACAUUUGGAGGGGUGGGGACCCAGUGAGAUCGACAGUCUGCUAUCGCUUGCAUGAGAAGAAACUGAAACUUAAGGCCAAAACUUACUUUUCUGGCAUUAUGGAUGGUGUGAUGUCCAAACAAACAAAGAUAGUAACCAAACCAAAUGCGCAGCUCUUUGAAAUGUAGGAUAUGAUAUUUUCAGAAUUCAUUAAAUGAUGUCCAUGUUGGCAAGUGAGUCAGAAUUCUUCACAAGCCCGGCACAAUGAGAAAUCAGAAAUCAGGAGCGGCUAGCGAGUGCUGCUGCUCAGGCUGACCCGGGCUCCUUCGUAACUCAUAACUUUUAUUUUUACUUACAAUUUUUUUUAACUUGAACAGAGUUUCUCAGAGUUCUGGAGUCCAAGAGGUCCGAGAAUAAGGUGCCAGAGGACUCAGCUCUCUUCCUGGCUUUCCAGAUGGGCAUCUUCAUGAUAGCGAGGAAGGGCCAGUUUGAAGAGAAGGGAAGAAGCGUAAGAGCCAGCUGAGGUGGGAAGGUAGAUGGGGACCCCAGACUAGGGCUUGCAUUGCUGAAGGGGCUCUGCCCAGGACAUGGGGAACUUGACAAAGCCCUGACCUCCAAAGAAAGACCCCAGGGAGACUUGCUGGUGCUCUUAUCACCACAGCUGUCAGGAUUUUCCUGGUGAUGUCUGCUCUCUGAUCUACGUCUUGAGGCAGUGUUCAAAUACCUUUUCCAAGUGUUGGCUUUGCCUAGGGCAAAAGCAAGGCUGCCUUGAUAAUUUCUGUGCCAGAGUGGAAUCUCACACAGAUUGGCCAGUUUGCAGCUCUGUGGUUUGAAAAAGCCAUGCUGAGACUAUAAAACCAAACAAUUUAGAAGCGCUUCCUCACUCAGCAGACGAAAAUUUAGAGUCUGUGUAGUAGAAGACACUUUAACCCAAGUUUCAGGUCACUUGAAGUGAAAAGUUUUUAAAAAGUACCUUACAAUUAAAAACCACACAAGGAAUUAGCUACCCUGAGGUAGAUACUACGGAAACAACAAGCAGAAUUAGACCGGAUUGUUCACAGAGAAUUUUAAAGUAGUUUUAAUAGAUUUGAAAGGAAUAAGUGGAGGUGCUUAUUUUAAUUCUUUUAUUUUAAUGGGAAGAUAUUCAUGUCACAGUAUAAAAUAACAGAUGACAUUUAAAAUUAUGCACAAAAAGACUAGAAGUAAAUAGCAUGAUGCCUUUGUAUGAUGAGAUUAUAAUUUUUAUUUUAAUUUUUGAAGUAUUCUUUUUUCUUUGAGACAGGGUGUCCAUGUGUUGCCCACACUGUUCUCAAACUCCUGGGCUUGAGUGUUCUCUUGGCUCAGCCUCCCAAUAGCUGAGAUUAGAGGUGUGUGCUAAUAUUUUUUACUGUGAGAAAAAACAAAGCAAACAAAAUGUAAAUAUAAAUGACUAGGAAAUAAAAUAGUAUAAUACAGUGAAGCAAACUUGAAUAAAAGCUAUGUAGCUUUCUAAAAAUGAAAAAAUGUAAUAAUUGGAAAAAACUUAGUAUAUGGGUCAUGUAGCAGAUCAGAAACAGCUGAAGAGAGAAGUAGUGAACCGGAAGAUAGAUCUGAAGGGUCUACACAGAAUGAAUCACAGAGAAACAAAGGAAGAAAAUAUGAAGAAAAGGUUUGAAAGCCACGGUCAACAGAAUGGGACUGUAUUCCGUGCAUCUAAUUAAACUUCCCAAGAAAGCAGAGAAAAGAUGAAAGCCACCAUUGAAAGACAGUGUACCUAGUAAUUAUCCAGUAUCGAUGAAUGCCUCAAAUUCAAGAAUCUCAACAAAUCCCAAGGUUUUCCCCAAGAAAGACAGUAACACAAAUGUGUUAGUCUCUGGCCUCAUCCAGCCCAUCGAAGGCCUGUGUAGAACAAGAAGAUGCACAGGGAGAAUUUGCUGCCUGCCUGCCUGUCUUUGAGCGAUGCCAACAGUUUCCUUCUUUAGGGUUUAGACUUGGACUGGAACUUGCAAGAUUGAGUAUUCCUGAUUCUUAGACCUGGACGCUGACUGGAACCAAACCAUCAGCUCUUUUGGGACUUCUUCAGAGAUACAAAUGGCAAACUUUUAAUCAGGUGGAGGUGUACACUGUUCAUUAAACUUGCCUGAACGAAAAUGCAAAACACUGGAAAACACUAUGUGAAAGUUAACCAAUUGUAUCAACUUGAGUAAGAAAUGCCCAAGUAAUGGAUCAGGUGAAGGGAUUCACUGAAGACAGAAGAUCUCCCUGGCGUGAGUGACAGCAACCAAUGGGCUGGCUGCCUGCAGGGACUAAAAGGGCAAAGAAGCAGGAAGGCUCAGUGCUGUUUCCUCGGAGGGGAGCUCCCGUCUUGUCCUUCACCUUGGAGCGUGCUCUCCUGGCUUCCAGCUCAGACCCUCUGGCCUUCUGAUACGGACUCACACGGGACACCACAGGGAGCUCCAGGCCUUGACUGGAUCCUCCAGAUCUCCAGGGCCCAGGCAGCCCUUUCAUGCUCUUCUACACCCAACCCUGUGGGCGGCCACUGUAAGCCAGUCUUGUAAAUACCUGUGUUUUUGUAUAUCUUGUGUUAUAUCCGUUUCUCUAGGAAGCACAGACAGAUGCUUGCUAUAAUCUGAGUGUGUUUAAUUCUCCUAGAAUUUUGUCAUGAACUAUAUUAUAAACACCAUCUGUUGUUUCCAUGAGCAACGAUUUUUCCAUCAAUAUCGAGUUUUCUGUUGUUUUCUCUUCGUGACUUCUCCAAGAUCACCAGCAAUGGGUCAGUAGUUAAAAGCAUUUUUGUGCAAUCAAGGGAUGAUAUGUGCAUUUGCUUUUUCUGGAGUCUCUGUCCUCUUGUGUGAACACACAAUUUUAAUAAGCACCCUUUUGUCACCUCGUCAGGUCUGGGUGUGUAAGUCCUUCACUUCUGUCCUCCUAUUUUAAUAAGAAACUAUUCUUGGUCUUUUGUAUGCACACAGGAAUUUGGGAAGCAGCGCCUCACUCCUAGAGGAGAGUUGCUUGCAGAACUUCCCUGGUGGCCUUUCCAAGCUCUCCUUGAAACUGGUCUCUAAUUUCAGACAUGCACCUCACCAUCCCCAAGUGACUGGGGAGUUUUUUAUGAUUCAAGUGCUCAGAGGAAGAAAUACGUGCAUAUAUUUUAAUGACGCCCAUUUGGUUUGCAAUUUGAGUUCCAGUGAUAACUACGUUCUGUCUUCAUAAUGUUCCGUAUCUGGCAAAUGUUUCCUUUUUCUUUACCGAGGAUUGGCCUUUUGCCUCCCCUAACUCAGUGAGCCCUUUCAUUUCCUUUACACCUACAGGGAUCGCCCCUGCAUUUUAAGCCCAACAUGUGCUUUCCCACCUCCAUGAAGUGCCCCUCAAUGACUACAGGACUGGUGGUCUCCACCUUCUCACAACUAGCUUUGAAUGGAACCUUUAUUCUUUCCCCCAAAGUAGGCGGCUUCUGUGAUUUAGUUAGUGUGAGCAGAUGGACUCAGCCGGCCCUAAGUGGCGGUUAACAGAUAGCAGUGCUGACUCCGCAGCACAGGGUCCUGCCAAGCAGCCCUUAUUAAAGUGCUCAGGAACUGUGCACUUAGCCAGGCGUGGGGGUGCACACCUGUAACCCUGCCGCUCAGGAGGCUGAGGCAGGAAACUGCAGCAAGGUCAAAGACAGCCUGGGUGACAUAGUGAGUUCAAGGUGAGCCUGGACUACACAGUGAGACCCUGUUCCCCCCCUCCCAAAAUUUUAUUUUAUAAAAAUCCACGUCAUAGAAAACUGGGAAAGCAAUAAAAUUCAAAGAGGAAGAUAGAAAAAAUAAGACUACCCAGAAAGAACUACUGUCACAGUUCAUUUUAGUAUAUUUCCCUGAUAAUAUUUUACUAUGUGCGUAUUUUAAAAGUUAAAAUUUAUGUACACAAAUUUUGAACAUUUUCAUUUUACAUAUAUG